rnacentral:rRNA from 1 species
UACGAAGGGGGCGAGCGUUGUUCGGAAUUACUGGGCGUAAAGGGCGCGUAGGCGGCGAACCAAGUCAGAUGUGAAAGUCCUGGGCUUAACCUGGGGACUGCAUUUGAUACUGGUUUGCUUGAAUUCGGGAGAGGAUAGCGGAAUUCCCAGUGUAGAGGUGAAAUUCGUAGAUAUUGGGAAGAACACCGGCGGCGAAGGCGGCUAUCUGGACCGACAUUGACGCUGAGGCGCGAAAGCGUGGGGAGCAAACAGG